UACGUAGGGUGCGAGCGUUGUCCGGAAUUAUUGGGCGUAAAGAGCUUGUAGGCGGUCUGUCGCGUCUGCUGUGAAAAUCCGGGGCUCAACCCCGGACUUGCAGUGGGUACGGGCAGACUAGAGUGUGGUAGGGGAGACUGGAAUUCCUGGUGUAGCGGUGGAAUGCGCAGAUAUCAGGAGGACACCGAUAGCGAAGGCAGCUCGCUGGGACGGUACUGACGCUGAGGUGCGAAAGCGUGGGGAGCGAACAGA
rnacentral:rRNA from 1 species